GAUGAACGCAGGCGGCGUGCCUAACACAUGCAAGUCGAGCGAACCUUUCGGGGUGAGCGGCGGACGGGUGAGUAACGCGUGGGUAACCUGCCCUAUACACACGGAUAACGUACCGAAAGGUACGCUAAUACGGGAUAAAGUUGUUGGAUGGCAUCUUCUAACAAUCAAAGCUCCGGCGGUAUAGGAUGGACCCGCGUCUGAUUAGCUAGUUGGUGAGGUAAUGGCUCACCAAGGCGACGAUCAGUAGCCGACCUGAGAAGGUGAUCGGCCACACUGGAACUGAGACACGGUCCAGACUCCUACGGGAGGCAGCAGUGGGGAAUAUUGCACAAUGGGCGAAAGCCUGGUGCAGCAACGCCGCGUGAGCGAUGAAGGUCUUCGGAUCGUAAAGCUCUGUCCUCAAGGAAGAUAAUGACGGUACUUGAGGAGGAAGCCCCGGCUAACUACGUGCCAGCAGCCGCAGUAA
rnacentral:rRNA from 1 species